CAAGGCGACGAUCCCUAGCUGGUCUGAGAGGAUGACCAGCCACACUGGAACUGAGACACGGUCCAGACUCCUACGGGAGGCAGCAGUGGGGAAUAUUGCACAAUGGGCGCAAGCCUGAUGCAGCCAUGCCGCGUGUAUGAAGAAGGCCUUCGGGUUGUAAAGUACUUUCAGCGGGGAGGAAGGUGUUGUGGUUAAUAACCGCAGCAAUUGACGUUACCCGCAGAAGAAGCACCGGCUAACUCCGUGCCAGCAGCCGCGGUAAUACGGAGGGUGCAAGCGUUAAUCGGAAUUACUGGGCGUAAAGCGCACGCAGGCGGUCUGUCAAGUCGGAUGUGAAAUCCCCGGGCUCAACCUGGGAACUGCAUUCGAAACUGGCAGGCUUGAGUCUUGUAGAGGGGGGUAGAAUUCCAGGUGUAGCGGUGAAAUGCGUAGAGAUC
rnacentral:rRNA from 2 species